rnacentral:rRNA from 1 species
GGCAGAGGGUGCAAACGUUGCUCGGAAUUACUGGGCGUAAAGCGCGUGUAGGCGGGCCCCCAAGUCGGACGUGAAAGCCCCGAGCUCAACUCGGGAACUGCAUCCGAAACUGAGGGCCUUGAGUGAUGGAGAGGGAAGCAGAAUUCCUGGUGUAGAGGUGAAAUUCGUAGAUAUCAGGAGGAACACCGGUGGCGAAGGCGGCUUCCUGGACAUUGACUGACGCUGAGACGCGAAAGCGUGGGGAGCAAACAGG